rnacentral:rRNA from 1 species
AACGAACGCUGGCGGCAGGCUUAACACAUGCAAGUCGAACGCGUGUAGCAAUACACGAGUGGCGCACGGGUGAGUAACGCGUGGAUAUCUGCCUUUUGGUUCGGAAUAACCCCGGGAAACUGGGGCUAAUACCGGAUGGUUCCUUCGGGAUAAAGAUUUAUCGCCAAAAGAUGAGUCCGCGUCCGAUUAGCUAGUUGGUGAGGUAAUGGCUCACCAAGGCGACGAUCGGUAGCUGGUCUGAGAGGACGAUCAGCCACACUGGGACUGAGACACGGCCCAGACUCCUACGGGAGGCAGCAGUGGGGAAUAUUGGACAAUGGGGGCAACCCUGAUCCAGCCAUGCCGCGUGAGUGAUGAAGGCCUUCGGGUUGUAAAGCUCUUUUGGCGGGGACGAUGAUGACGGUACCCGCAGAAUAAGCCCCGGCCAACUUCGUGCCAGCAGCCGCAGUAA